AUUGAACGCUGGCGGCAGGCCUAACACAUGCAAGUCGAGCGGAUGAAGGGAGCUUGCUCCUGGACUCAGCGGCGGACGGGUGAGUAAUGCCUAGGAAUCUGCCUGGUAGUGGGGGAUAACGUCCGGAAACGGGCGCUAAUACCGCAUACGUCCUGAGGGAGAAAGUGGGGGAUCUUCGGACCUCACGCUAUCAGAUGAGCCUAGGUCGGAUUAGCUAGUUGGUGGGGUAAAGGCCUACCAAGGCGACGAUCCGUAACUGGUCUGAGAGGAUGAUCAGUCACACUGGAACUGAGACACGGUCCAGACUCCUACGGGAGGCAGCAGUGGGGAAUAUUGGACAAUGGGCGAAAGCCUGAUCCAGCCAUGCCGCGUGUGUGAAGAAGGUCUUCGGAUUGUAAAGCACUUUAAGUUGGGAGGAAGGGCAGUAAGUUAAUACCUUGCUGUUUUGACGUUACCAACAGAAUAAGCACCGGCUAACUUCGU
rnacentral:rRNA from 1 species